GAUGAACGCUGGCGGCGUGCUUAACACAUGCAAGUCGAACGGGAACUACUUUAUUGAAACUUCGGUCGAUUUAAUUUAAUUCUAGUGGCGGACGGGUGAGUAACGCGUGGGUAACCUGCCUUAUACAGGGGGAUAACAGUCAGAAAUGGCUGCUAAUACCGCAUAAGCGCACAGAGCUGCAUGGCUCGGUGUGAAAAACUCCGGUGGUAUAAGAUGGACCCGCGUUGGAUUAGCUUGUUGGUGGGGUAACGGCCCACCAAGGCGACGAUCCAUAGCCGGCCUGAGAGGGUGAACGGCCACAUUGGGACUGAGACACGGCCCAGACUCCUACGGGAGGCAGCAGUGGGGAAUAUUGCACAAUGGGGGAAACCCUGAUGCAGCGACGCCGCGUGAAGGAAGAAGUAUCUCGGUAUGUAAACUUCUAUCAGCAGGGAAGAUAGUGACGGUACCUGACUAAGAAGCCCCGGCUAACUACGU
rnacentral:rRNA from 1 species